AUUGAACGCUGGCGGCAGGCCUAACACAUGCAAGUCGAGCGAGCGGCGGACGGGUGAGAAAAGUCUGGGAAACACCCUGAUGGAGGGGGAUAACAACUGGAAACGGUAGCGAAUACCGCAUACCAUCAGAUGUGCCCAGAUGGGAUUAGAUAGUAGGUGGGGUAAUGGCUCACCUGGGCGACGAUCCCUAGCUGGUCGGAGAGGAUGACCAGCCACACGGGAACUGAGACACGGUCCAGACUCCGACGGGAGGCAGCAGUGGGGAAGAUGGCACAAUGGGCGAAAGCCUGAUGCAGCCAUGCCGCGUGUGUGAAGAAGGCCUUCGGGUUGUAAAGGACUUUCAGCGGGGAGGCGUUACUCGCAGAAGAAGCACCGGCUAACUCCGUGCCAGCCGCCGCGGUAAUUC
rnacentral:rRNA from 1 species